UGAUGACUUGUUUAAAGCGAUGUUCCCAGAUUCUGCCCUUGUACAGUCUUUUACAUGGGGGAAAGACAAGACGAGAUACGUUGCCAAAUUUGGAUUGGCGCCGUAUAUAAAAAAAGAGCUUGUCAAUGAAGUUCAAAAAUGCGGUGUGUUUGUUGUCAUGUUCGAUGAGACACUGAACCAGACAACCAAAACCAAACAAAUGGACUUGCAUGUGCUUUAUUGGUUAAAUGACCAUGUCCAGUCUAGGUUCUACGGAUCACAGUUCAUGGGCCACGCAACUGCCCAGGACCUACUUCAGCAUUUCAAAGAGUGUGUGCAGCAGCUUGACCUGAGACAUUUGGUUUCUAUCUCAAUGGAUGGACCAAAUGUCAAUUGGAAGUUUUUCUCAAUGCUCCAAUAGGAGCAUGCAGAUGCAUUUGGAGGUGCCCAGCUGAUUGUGGUGGGGAGCUGUGGGCUUCACACACUCCACAAUGCCUUUAAAAGUGGCUUCAGUGUCUGGCAGCUGGAGAAAGUGCUCAGGGCAUUGCAUACACUCUUUCACAAUACCCCUGCUAGAAGAGAAGAUUGCUGCUCUUUGACAGAGUCAUCUGUGUUUCCCCUACCAUUCUGUGGGCAUCGCUGGAUCGAAAACCUACCCGUUGUCGACAGGGCUAUCACCAUAUGGCCAAUGAUGGUGAAGUAUGUGGAUGCAGUGACACAGAAAAAGCUUCCAAACCCUAGAACAUCCUCCUAUGACACUCUUGCAGAGGCACGGAAUGACCCUCUCAUAAUGGCCAAGCUGCACUUCUUUAUGGCUGUCUCUAGGACCUUCACCACAUUUCUGACUAAGUAUCAGACAGAUGAGCCGGUGAUUCCAUUCAUCGGUAAAGAUCUGGCUGUUCUCAUGAAGAGCCUACUGAAGAGGUUCAUCAAGGCAGAGAUCCUUAAUGACAUCACAGCACUGCAAAUGGUCAAACUGGACACAACUGCCAAGGAAGCAAGGGCUGGCCUAAAGGCUGUGGACAUUGGAUUAGGAGCAGAAGUAGUCCUAAAGGUGAUGUGAUUGUCCAACAAUUUGGACAUUUCUUGUCUCUGGAGGCAAAACAUGAGUCAUUCUCCUCUUUCCAACCCAUGCGUACAAGACUGGACGUUUUCUUGCAUGGAGCUUUUGGCAGCUGCAGCUUCAGCUAGGUCUCAGUAUCGGCUACACCUGGACCAGGAAAAGAGAAAGCAUGCGAGCAAUGCUCAAAGAGAAAAGAGAAAAGGUGCAGAAGACCACCUAGAGCAGCUCAAAACGAAGAAGAAGAUACUGAUUGAGGUAGCAAACAGCCUGGAAAAAGAUGCCGACAAGCUAGCAGAACAAGCUGAGGGUAAAUCGGGCACACUCAUGGCCCAGCUAAUCACCAAGUCAAACAUCCUCAGAAGAAGACACAAAGAAAAACUCACAGAACUCAAAGAGGUUGAGAAAGAGCUGGAAGAUAAAUCGGCAGAACUCAGGCAUAUGCCAUAAUGUCAAAUUAGGCAUUACCUCUUCCUUACCUUCUUUUUUCACUGUUUCAAGUGUUUAUGUUCAUUUGUGCACAUGCACAUUGUUAUAAAUGGGUAAGUACACUCUUUUGGGAAGGCUUUCUCAAGUGCCAGGUCAGUGUUUUGUUUAUUAUUAUUAUCUUUUGAUUCAAAGGAUGUCUGUCACACACACAUACACACACUCACACAAGUUAUAUUAAGUUAUAUUUUGCACUUCAAAAGCACUUGAAAUUGCCAUUUAUUUAUGUAGUUAUUGUAUUUAUUAUUUUGUUCGAAAGGAACAGUAUUUUUUAUUUAUUUACUUGAUUUUAUAAGCAUUUGUUUAUGGGACCUAAAUGCUCUGAAAAUAAUAAAUAUAAUUGAG
ensembl:lncRNA